CUGGCCAUGUCCACCCAGUAGGCCACACCCACCCUGGCCACACCUACCCCCCUCCCUGAGGACAACCGCAGUGCUGAUGUGGCCCUCAAUGAAAUUAAGUUUGACACCCCUGUUCUAGGAUAUCCUAGAAAUUGUCGUAGUGUAUGCCCCCCCCAAUAUUGAUCAUGUGCACACACUCUACCAUCCAGUACUUUAUAUUCCUAUUCAUGUAUCAGUGAAAGUGAAAAGUAUAUAAGGCAAACAUGUAAAAGUGGAUUCUAUGUCAUCACAAAAAAACAGUUCAUGCUUCCUUUUGUCUCAGAUAGUUUUUUUUUUAAAUUUGCUCCCAGACAGCUACGGUAUGACAGAGAAUAUUCAUUUAUUUUUAUCUUGUCUUUAUUUUUUAUCAAUAACUCAAGGUAGCAAACAUACUUAAUGCUCUUUCCUCUUCCUGUUUUCCCCACCAUAAUAACCCCACAAGGUGGGUUAUAAUCUAUAAAUGUUUUGUUUUCAAUGUAAAGUAUAUGCAUUUUUUACAAACAUACAGAACAUUACAGGUAACGGCACACAAUCUAGCAUGAAGAAAAAGCAGGCAAGAAAAAUGAGAAAGUAACAAUUAGGAGGAGUAAACAUUUAAAAAGAACAAAAACAAAGCAGCAUAUAUUUUCCACCUUAAGCAAUGCAUUAAAAACUCAGAAGCCUCUCCUCUGAUAAAACCAUUGCAAGAGCAAUGAAAAGGCAUAUAACACUAACUUAGCUCCAUAUUGAAUCCUGGUAGCUUCAGUCUAUGAGAUUGUAGCAGAUACCUCCUUGAAAACUCCAACUCUGUUGUGUUUUGGCUAUAAAAAAGGAAAACCCCAUAUUUUGAAUUAUUAGGAGGGGUUAGGGAAAUAACUGGAUAUGUAGAAUGCCUUCCCAUAGAUUUACAGAGAACAUAUUUAUGGAGCAGCAUUUUUUUCUUAAGAAUAUCAGGCAGCUGGAAAGUGUAAUUAACAACACAAUCUCUUAGAUGCUUAUUCAAAAUUAAUAGUGGGGUGGCUUUUGUUAGAAAUGGAAAGCUGAAGUAAAUGGAUUGUUCAUCGGAUCCAGCUGGCUGUUCUUGAAUUAUAAUUAAGGCUCAAGCAUCUGUGCUGCUUAUUAUAAAUAGACAGUAGAAGAGUGGUAGAUUUUGUGUUAGAAGUUGCUUCCAUGGGAAAGAAGUAGAGUUCUUAAAUAAGUAGAAAAAGCAAUGCAAGGAGAGCCUACUAUGAACUACAUCUCUCACCAUUGCUUACCAUUGGCUGUAGUGAUUGGGAUGCUGGGAGGUAAAGGCAGAAUCUGGUAUAAACCCAUUUGGUUGUUUUUUUUUUAAUGGAAUUUUAUAUAUGAAGAACAUGACAAAUGAAACUCUUUUCCGGGUUCCUUCAUAUUCUGAAGUAAUUGCACAGAAUGAUCUUUUUGAAUCUUGCUGUGUUGGUUGCGACAUAUCUUUAUAAAGGAUAUCAAGUAGUUUUGGAAGAACACAGACUUAGCUACCAUAUUUCUGACCAUUACACCAACUUCUGAAUUGACUUCUAAUGCACAGAUGCUCCUGGUGAAGAGUAAUCCCAUUAUCACUAUAUUUAUAUCUGGAAAGAAAGAUUGAAAACUCCCAGCUCUGUUGUGUUUUGGCUAUAAAAAAGGAAAACCCCAUGUUUUGAAUUAUUAGGAGGGGUUAGGGAAAUAACUGGAUAUGUAGAAUGCCUUCCCAUAGAUUUACAGAGAACACAUUUAUGGAGCAGCAUUUUUUUCUUAAGAAUAUCAGGCAGCAGGAAAGUGUAAUUAACAACACAAUCUCUUAGAUGCUUAUUCAAAAUCAAACAGUUUAAUUAAAAGCUGGCUGAUACCAUACAUACUUAUCCUACAUGAGAGUAAGGCUUCCUCCUCCAUUUAGCUCAUUCAAGUCAAAUCUUUUGUUGACGAUCUAAAGAAUAAACAAUGGUCAAGGCUUCCAGAGAAAGACUUGAUGGUGUUUCUUGUCUAACAUUAUUUUUUUCUUCCUGAUAAGAAAGGAAACAUCCAAGUUAGCAAGAUGAGAUGAGUUGUAUGCAUUUCUUUUCUCUCCAAUUACAGUAAUUGAAUAAUACAUCUAAUAUUUGAGGGUGAAUAGGCUUGAAAUUUUUGCUUAAAUAUAAAAAGAUUUUUUUCCAUUUAUUGUGUCUGAGUCUUGAAGACUGCCUGGCAAGUCCCUGCAGUGUACUUUGCAAGCUUUUUCAAAAGUGGCUUGCCAUUGCCUCCUUCCUAGGGCUGAUGAAGUGACUGGCUCAAGUCAUCUAAUUGGCUUCAUGCGCAAGGCAGGAUUAGAACUUGCAAUAUCCUGGUUUUUAACCUUAUGGCUUAACUGUUACACCAAACUGACUAUCCAAUUUGGUGAGCUUCCUUUGUAUUAUAAAUUUUUACAUUAUAAAGCUUCUUUUGUUUUAAUUAACUUUUAGUUUUUUUAUGUGUAAGGAAGGGGGAAAGAAUUAUUAAACAAAUGAUAUUCAUAUAAAUGUUUGCAAUGAAUUACUUUGGGUUUUUUGGAGCAUAGUCCCAAUAUACCACUCAAGAAAAAAGCAAGCAUGAAUCUUGGUACAUAAAAUUGUGCUCCCUAUUGUAAUGGUUACUUUUAUAAUAAAAGUUUAUUUUUAAUGAAAGAGUUAACUCCUAUCAAAUUUGCAUGCCGUGAAAAAAGCCCAGUAACUGCCUUUCAGACUUGGACAAGUAGAGCAGCACUUGCACGUAAGAAGAGAAAUUACGGUAUGUGGGGUUUUUUUUCUUUUGUGUUUUCUUUUGGUGAAGGUAUAUAUCAAAUCUGUAAUGUAUCAAAUAAUGUAUUAAAUUUAUAUUUAAUGAAACUUCACUGUGAAGGAGUGAAGGAAAGUUUUAAAAUUCUGGCUGAUGAGCUCUAUGCUUGUUUCAGACACAAAUGUGGCAUCUCAUUAAAUGGCAGCAAUGACUUUAUCCUAUUAUCUGCCUACUUAAAGAAAAAUAAAAGCAUGCAGAGUAACUCACAUUUUAAAAUGCAUAAGACUUUGUGACAGAGGCAGAAAUGCAAAUACUCUGUCAAGAGAGGGGGUCUAGGGCAACUCGACGGGGCCAUCUUGCCACAGGACAAUCUUUAGGGGAUAACUCAAUGUGAUAAACGUUAUCUGCCACUGUUUUUUUCUACAUUAUUUCCAUUUUUGUCAAUGAAAAUGUCAAAGAAACAGUGGCCGAUAAUUAUCGCAUUGAGUUAUUCCACAUGGAUUGUCUUGUGGCACAAUGGCUGAGUUAUUCCGUGAGGAGUUGUCCUGUGGCAAGUUGGCGUCCCAUUCAGUCAAGAGAAUGGAUAACUUUAGUACAUUCUAGAUCUUUUGGAUCUUUUUGCUGACUCACGAAUUCUGGGAGUUGAAGUCCACAGGUCAUAAAGAGACCAUAGCUUCCCAUCCCUCCCUAGAGCAUUGCCAUGCAAACUAGUGUUUAUGACAGCUUUUCCCAAGCUGGUGCUCAUCAUUGUUGGAAGGUGGAAAAGGGGGUAGGAACCGUCCCUCCAUCAAAGGUAUGUCUUAUGCAGCUGGGGAAAACCAUCUCCGUUCACCCUUGGUGGAACUUCUUUCAUCUUAGAUAAAAUUGAUAAGAGCCAGGUUCAGUCUUCAUGACCGACCAAAAUUAAGUUAACAGAAGCCAUUGUUUAGAAAAAGGCACUUUUUCCAAACAACUGGCUUCUAAAGAGGCAAUAUGCACAGCAUCAUGUACUUUCUAAUGAGAUAUAUUUGAUCAAUAAAACUCAUUGUUGCAAUUUCUUGGUUAACGCCUUCUAAAUCUGGUGCUAUGUAAUCAAAUAGAGGUCAGUACACGGAGAAUUCUGCAGAUUUGUCAUAAAGCAAAUUCAACACAAGUAUAUUUUGUUAGAGGUAGAAAAUUUUAUUUAAGAAAGUCAGAUGCUUUAUAUGGUGCAUUUGGCUUCUGUUCCUGCAUUACCUAUUUAUAUUUUCCAAAUAAUUCAUUUAAAGCUUGAGUGGAGUAUAAAUUUGGUUUGAAGUUAGAUAGCACUUAAUUCUUGUAACAAAUGGUGGACUUCCUAAAAACCAUGAACCUUUCCAGACCAUUCAGGCUUUCUUGGGUACUUAGCAAAUUUAUUGAAAUAGAAAAUAUUACCAUUUUCUGAUGUAGUAAAAUAAACUCACCAAAUAUAACAUUUUGUUGUAAUAUUGUGAUAUAAUGUCAUUAAUCCUGAUUUCCUACUGAGAAUUCAUUGGAAGGUUGGGUUCUAGUUUUUGAAACAAAAAUGUUAAAAAUACAUUGCAACUUUGCAGUUUUCCACAUUUCCACAUAACAACAAAACUACGAGUGUAUCCAAUUAACUUUUCUAAGCAUUCUGGAAAAUAAAUAGAACUAAAUCUCUUACUAUUUGAACAUCAUCACAUUUUUAUUUAAAAUUUACUUUCUGCAUACAGUUGGAUUAAGAUCUUGGAUCAGGUUUCUUUCUUUAAUGGCAACAAUAAUGAUAAAUGUCUUGCUUAUGCUGUGAAAUGUCCUGACAUUUCAGAAGUAUCAAAAGGGACAGCCAGAAGGAUCCCUUGGGGAUGCGAUGCUGUGGUGGAAACAGCUUCCCUUUCAUUUGGGAUAAUGGCAACGCCAGAAAGAUGACUUCAUCAUCCAGACCUGGGAAAAUCAGUGAUGUGGGAAAUGUGCCAACCUACUUGGGUUGCAGAAAGCUUUGAACCUGCUUGAAUGUUGCCAAGUAAAAAGGUGAGAACUCCCCUCUUGCAUAUCUAGACAAGCACUCAGAGAGGCAGACAAGUACCUUUCUUCCUGAUUAUACAGGCAGAGAAAACAUUUUUAUCUUUUUUUUUAAGGGAAUUUACCCUGAAGUGGUAUGAUCCCCAUUCUCCACCAUUUAUCAUAUGUAUCUUCUCAACAAUCUGUCUUUCCUCCAAGAAGGAGAUGUGUGUGUCCUGUGAUAGUUGAAGGAGAAAUAUUUAGGUCACUAGUCCUAGCUAGAGGUUAAUUAUGAUCAACUGCAAGACAGCAGCAAUUCCCUUGCCAAAUAACAUCUCCUGUCAGGCUUGUGGGUCCAUGUGUUAGGAGGAUGGUGGGGGUGAUACAUAGGUGCCAGAGCCUGUUCUGUGGACAUGCAGAUUAUGUGGAGCAGCCUAUGUGAAUAGACUGCUAUUACCGUCCUCCCACAAGUUUUGUCCUUGAGCUUAUCUUACUCGUUAGAAUUAAUGAAACAAACAGGACAUGUAACUGGGCUGUUGGCCUUCUUCAACAUAUUACCAUUUGAGUUGCAUGUUAAUUUAUAGCACAAUAGAGGUUUGCCAAAUGCCAGCUAGGUAGAAUAACCACAGCAAAGAAAGUAAUUGUUGAGAAACCACUAUGCUUUUUUAUUGGUUUAUGCCCUUUUGUGUUGUAAAUGGAUAGUUUCCCUUUAAAUAAAUACUGUUUUUGAAAAGUU